UACAGAGGUCUCAAGCGUUGUUCGGAUUCAUUGGGCGUAAAGGGUGCGUAGGUGGCGGGGCAAGUUGGAUGUGAAAUCCCGGAGCUUAACUCCGGAACUGCAUUCAAUACUGCCUUGCUAGAGUACUGGAGAGGAGAUUGGAAUUUACGGUGUAGCAGUGAAAUGCGUAGAUAUCGUAAGGAAGACCAGUGGCGAAGGCGGAUCUCUGGACAGUUACUGACACUGAGGCACGAAGGCCAGGGAGCAAACGGG
rnacentral:rRNA from 1 species